rnacentral:tRNA from 1 species
AGUCUUAUAGUAUAGAUAGUAUGUUUAAUUUCCAAUUAAAAGGUUUAGGGGGCUAUUGAGAAGUCUA